rnacentral:rRNA from 1 species
UGGGGAAUUUUGGACAAUGGGCGAAAGCCUGAUCCAGCAAUGCCGCGUGUGUGAAGAAGGCCUUCGGGUUGUAAAGCACUUUUGUCCGGAAAGAAAUCCUUGGCUCUAAUACAGUCGGGGGAUGACGGUACCGGAAGAAUAAGCACCGGCUAACUACGUGCCAGCAGCCGCGGUAAUACGUAGGGUGCAAGCGUUAAUCGGAAUUACUGGGCGUAAAGCGUGCGCAGGCGGUUUGCUAAGACCGAUGUGAAAUCCCCGGGCUCAACCUGGGAACUGCAUUGGUGACUGGCAGGCUAGAGUAUGGCAGAGGGGGGUAGAAUUCCACGUGUAGCAGUGAAAUGCGUAGAGAUGUGGAGGAAUACCGAUGGCGAAGGCAGCCCCCUGGGCCAAUACUGACGCUCAUGCACGAAAGCGUGGGGAGCAAAACAGGAUUAGAUACCCUGGUAGUCCACGCCCUAAACGAUGUCAACUAGUUGUUGGGGAUUCAUUUCCUAGUAACGUAGCUAACGCGUGAAGUUGACCGCCUGGGGAGUACGGUCGCAAGAUUAAAACUCAAAGGAAUUGACGGGGUCAUAGCU